rnacentral:rRNA from 1 species
CCGACCGGCGCACGGUGAGUAACGCGUAUGCAACUUACCUAUCAGAGGGGAUAACCCGGCGAAAGUCGGACUAAUACCGCAUGAAGCAGGGGCCCCGCAUGGGGAUAUUUGCUAAAGAUUCAUCGCUGAUAGAUAGGCAUGCGUUCCAUUAGGCAGUUGGCGGGGUAACGGCCCACCAAACCGACGAUGGAUAGGGGUUCUGAGAGGAAGGUCCCCCACAUUGGUACUGAGACACGGACCAA